AGGAAAGAAAUGAGGGAGACCAAGAUCGAUCAGCCAAACCAGGAUCUGCCAAAAGCUCAUGCCAGUUCUGAUGCCUGGAUCCCCGUAAGUGAACCAUCUUCAGAAAGACUAUCAGAAACUACAGAAGAGAUCAAUACCCUGAAUGAAAAUUCCUCUCACUACGACUUUGACAAUGGUUCGAAAGAUGCACAUGAUGUCGGAC